GAAGCCAGGAUUCAAGCCCAGGCAGUUGUUUCAGAGUACAGGCCCUUAGCCUCUAACAAGGUACCUACCCUUGGUCUUAUCUACCACACAUUUUCCCCCAGGAAACAGCCCAUUUUCAGAGUUGUGACUAUCACCUGAAGUCGCAAAAUCUUGAUCUCCAAGUCUCACCUGUCCAACUGCUGGCUAAACUUCAACCUGGAUGUUCAGCAUAUUAUAAAACCAAUGCAUCUUCUUCACAGUCCUGAAACCUCUUUCCCAAACUGUCACCAAUUCUUUAGCAUCCUUCCCACCCUUGGCCAAUCUGGGCAAUUAUGAUCCUAUCUUCCCCUAAGUUUCAGAUACAUUUAUGUCUAUACCAGUAAUCCCCAAACACUGAUUUCCAACCAAGUUUACAAUGGUGCAUAUAAAAAAGAGAAAAAUAGUAAUGUGCUAUUCAUUUUUAAAAACCUGUCUUUUAUUCUGAGAUAAUUCCUACUAUUUACUGUUAGAAUGUUUUUGUUUUUCCUUUUAUGAAAAAAUGAUAAUAGAUAAUAGUUCAUUUUAUAUUUUUUUCUUAGUGAACUAAAACAUUAACAAUACUAUAAUGAUUCCCAAAGUUAGCUGCUCUGAAAAUUUACUAACCUAGGAAAUUUUUAUAUCAGCAAUCUUUUUUUUUCCCUCAAAAAUGGCAGAUUAGAGGCUUUGUUAGCAUACCUCAUCCAUUUGGAAAUAACAAAAUAGUGUGUAGAGAUUCAUACUGUGAACUUUUAUACAAGAAGGAACACAGGAGCUUAACACAAAAGUGAAAGAAACUUCAGAUACUUUGAAAAAUAAGAGCGGGCAGCAGCUUGCACUGCAGGUCAAGCAGAAAACUGAUGUGAAUUCCCAGUAUG
rnacentral:lncRNA from 1 species